rnacentral:misc_RNA from 1 species
GAUGAAGAACGUAGCGAAAUGCGAUAAGUAAUGUGAAUUGCAGAAUUCAGUGAAUCAUCGAAUCUUUGAACGCACCUUGCACUCCUUGGUAUUCCGAGGAGUACGCCUGUUCGAGUGUUAUGAAGCUCUCAAAACGCAAUUGGCUUAAAACCUGAUUGUUGUUUUGGAUUUGAACUUUGCCGUGUUAUAACGGCUGGUUUUAAAAGUAUUAGCUGGUACUAGAACGAAUUGGUUCUACUCAACGUGAUAAUUAUCUGAUCGUUGAGGACAUUCCUUUCACGAGGAAUGGCCAUAGUAAAUUCAAUGGACUGCUUCUAAUCUGGCUUUAAUUCUUUAUUGGAUUAACCACUUUUCAAAUCUGACCUCGAAUCAGGUGGGACUACCCGCUGAACUUAAGCAUAUCAAUAAGCGGAUGA